UCCGGAUGACACUGCCCUCAGAGGGGAGC
rnacentral:sRNA from 1 species